rnacentral:misc_RNA from 1 species
GAUGAAGAACGUAGUGAAAUGCGAUAAGUAAUGUGAAUUGCAGAAUUCAGUGAAUCAUCGAAUCUUUGAACGCACAUUGCGCCCGCCAGCAUUCUGGCGGGCAUGCCUGUUCGAGCGUCAUUUCAACCCUCGAGCCCCCCCGGGGGCCUCGGUGUUGGGGGACGGCACACCAGCCGCCCCCGAAAUGCAGUGGCGACCCCGCCGCAGCCUCCCCUGCGUAGUAGCACACACCUCGCACCGGAGCGCGGAGGCGGUCACGCCGUAAAACGCCCAACUUUCUUAGAGUUGACCUCGGAUCAGGUAGGAAUACCCGCUGAACCUAAGCAUAUCAAUAAGCGGAGGA